GACGAACGCUGGCGGCGUGCUUAACACAUGCAAGUCGAACGGAAAGGCCCUGCUUUUGUGGGGUGCUCGAGUGGCGAACGGGUGAGUAACACGUGAGUAACCUGCCCUUGACUUUGGGAUAACUUCAGGAAACUGGGGCUAAUACCGGAUAGGAGCUCCUGCUGCAUGGUGGGGGUUGGAAAGUUUCGGCGGUUGGGGAUGGAUUCGCGGCUUAUCAGCUUGUUGGUGGGGUAGUGGCUUACCAAGGCUUUGACGGGUAGCCGGCCUGAGAGGGUGACCGGCCACAUUGGGACUGAGAUACGGCCCAGACGCCUACGGGGGGCAGCAGUGGGGAGUAUUGCACAAUGGGCGGAAGCCUGAGGCAGCAACGCCGCGUGCGGGAUGACGGCCUUCGGGUUGUAAACCGCUUUCGCCUGUGACGAAGCGUGAGUGACGGUAAUGGGUAAAGAAGCACCGGCUAACUACGUG
rnacentral:rRNA from 1 species